CUGUGUGUGGCUCAGUGGUAGAGCACUCGCCUAGCAUGCAUGGGGAAGUGGGUUUGAUCCUCAGCACCACAUAAA
rnacentral:tRNA from 1 species